UGCUGGAAUUCGCCCUUAGAGUUUGAUCCUGGCUCAGGAUGAACGCUGGCGGCGUGCCUAACACAUGCAAGUCGAGCGGAGAUUAGAGGAGUGCUUGCACAAAUUUAAUCUUAGCGGCGGACGGGUGAGUAACACGUGAGUAACCUGCCCUACACUGGGGAAUAACAACGAGAAAUCGGUGCUAAUACCGCAUAAUGUCACGAGAUCACAUGGUCUUGUGACCAAAGGAGCAAUUCGGUGAAGGAUGGACUCGCGUCCGAUUAGGUAGUUGGUGAGGUAACGGACCAACAAGCCAUCGAUCGGUAGCCGAACUGAGAGGUUGAUCGGACACAUUGGGACUGAGACACGGACCAGACUCCUACGGGAGGCAGCAGUGGGGAAUAUUGGGCAAUGGGGGAAAACCUGACCCAGCAACGCCGCGUGAAGGAAGAAGGUCU
rnacentral:rRNA from 1 species